rnacentral:lncRNA from 1 species
CCCUGGGUCAAACAUUCAGGUAAGGAAGGGCCAGGCCACGGUGUCAGCAAUCUCAGAAAACAUCACAAUGGUGGGUUUGUGGUCUUGGUGCUGUGUGCUAGGCCUGCAGCAGAGGACAGCCAGCCCUCACUUACCACACAAGUCCUCCAUGUUGCCAACAGCUCCUCUUGGUGUGGCUGUAGGCAAGAGGAGAUUCCCAAGCCCGCUUUGGUAGAAGAAUAGCAGGGAGAGAAGCAGUGACAAGGAAAGACAAGGGCCACCACUUGGAUAACUACUUAUGCUGGAAAGUACCCGAAGCAAAGUGUGCUGCAAGUGCCCAUACUACUGGCUGUGUACUGGUUUGUGCAGUGAUGCAGAGCUGCCAGGAGAAGCUUCAACAUCACAGUUACAGCACAGGAAGAGCAUGUGGUCAGGGUGAACAUAGACUGUACCACUCUGGGCUUUUUACCUCCUGUGGCUUCACUUCGUGUGGUCUAUCAAACCCUGUGGAGAGGAGCAUGACGAGAUGAGCUGGAAGUUCAGGGUUACAGAAGUUGAAACCUGUGCCUUUGCAUACUGUUUCCUUGAGUUUUACUUGCUGUGUUUUGGUAUCAGGAGAGGGCAAUAUUCCUACCACACCAUGCAUCAGUGUGGCAAAAAUGGUCUGGCUGUAGACUUUACCUGAUACUGAAUGUUAUUUAUGCACAGGUUAUGAAACCUAUCAUAAGGCACAAAUCUGCUAUUGCAAAGGGGAUAAUCCUGAAUUUCUGCUAAAAUCACCAUGGGAGCAAAUAAAGUUUGUUAUUUUUUUUCA